GGGUGCAUAGCUCAGUUGGUUAGAGCACUUCCCUUACAAGGAAGGGGCCGGGGGUUCGAGUCCCUCUGCACCCA
rnacentral:tRNA from 3 species